AGUGAACGCUGGCGGUAGGCCUAACACAUGCAAGUCGAACGGCAGCACAGUAAGAGCUUGCUCUUACGGGUGGCGAGUGGCGGACGGGUGAGGAAUACAUCGGAAUCUACUUUUUCGUGGGGGAUAACGUAGGGAAACUUACGCUAAUACCGCAUACGACCUACGGGUGAAAGCAGGGGAUCUUCGGACCUUGCGCGAUUGAAUGAGCCGAUGUCGGAUUAGCUAGUUGGCGGGGUAAAGGCCCACCAAGGCGACGAUCCGUAGCUGGUCUGAGAGGAUGAUCAGCCACACUGGAACUGGGACACGGUCCAGACUCCUACGGGAGGCAGCAGUGGGGAAUAUUGGACAAUGGGCGCAAGCCUGGUCCAGCCAUACCGCGUAGGUGAAGAAGGCCUUCGGGUUGUAAAGCCCUUUUGUUGGGAAAAAAAAGCAGCAGGUUAAUACCCCGCUGUUCUGACGGUACCCAAAGAAUAAGCACCGGCUAACUUCGUG
rnacentral:rRNA from 1 species